rnacentral:misc_RNA from 1 species
GAUGAAGAACGCAGCGAAAUGCGAUACGUUGUGUGAAUUGCAGAAUUCAGUGAAUCAUCGAAUCUUUGAACGCACAUUGCACCUCUCGGUAUUCCGGGAGGUAUGCCUGUUCGAGCGUCAUUUGUACCCUCAAGCUCUGCUUGGUGUUGGGUGUUUGUUCCGCCUCUGUGUGUGAACUCGCCUCAAAACAAUUGGCAGCCGGCGUACUUGUUUCGGAGCGCAGCACAUUUUGCGAUCCAGAUCAACGUACAGCGGCAUCCAAGAAGCCUUAUUUAACGCUCUUGACCUCGGAUCAGGUAGGGAUACCCGCUGAACUUAAGCAUAUCAAUAGCGGAGGA